CCCUACGGGGCGCAGCAGGUGCGAAAACUUCGCAAUGUGGGAAACCACGACGAGGGGAUACCAAGUGCUUACACUAUGUGUAGGCUGUUUUCGUGUCUAAAAAACACGGAGAGUAAGGGCUGGGUAAGACGGGUGCCAGCCGCCGCGGUAAUACCCGCAGCCCGAGUGGUGAUCAUUAUUAUUGGGCCUAAAACGUCCGUAGCCGGCCCGGUAAAUUCUUGGGGAAAUCGGUGAGCUUAACUCAUCGAAGUCCGAGGAGACUGCCGGGCUUGGGACUGGGUGAGGUCAGAGGUACUUCAGGGGUAGGGGUGAAAUCCUGUAAUCC
rnacentral:rRNA from 1 species